GACGAACGCUGGCGGCGUGCUUAACACAUGCAAGUCGAACGAAGUGGCGAACGGGUGAGUAAUACGUGGUUAACCUGCCCUCCUUUUUGGGAUAAGCCUUGGAAACGGGGUCUACUACCGACUAAAGGGGGAUGGGCUCGCGGCCUAUCAGCUUGGUGGUGGGGUGCUUGCCUGCCAAGGCGGUGACGGUUAGACGGCCUGAGCGGGUGAACUGCCACAUUGGCACUGCGAUACGGCCCAGACGACGAAGCGGGGCGGCAGUGGGGGAUAUGGCACAAUGGGCGAAAGACUGAUGCAGCGACGCCGAGUGGGGGAUGAAGGCUUUCGGGUUGUAAACCUCUUGCGCUAGCGAACGGGUAGGUGGAGAAGAAGCGCCGGCUAACUACGUGCCAGCAGCCGCGGUAAUAC
rnacentral:rRNA from 1 species